UAUUUUCUCAUACUAUAGAGUUCAACACUGUAUAAUAUUGGGUGUGGUCGAUGUAAUAAGCCCAUCCCACCUGCUAAUAUAAUGUGUCAGAAAUGUGAGGGUAGACUUAAUAUCUGCUCUGUGUGUCAUGCUCCUGUUAAAGGAUUAUACUCAAUGUGUGAGGUGUGUGGUCAUGGUGGCCACAUGUCUCAUUUGAAGGAAUGGUUCAGUACUAACAGCUGGUGUCCAUCUGGUUGUGGACAUAACUGUGUAACAUGAAAAUUAAUGAAGAUUGUGAUUAUAAUGCUGUUAAUUAAUAGUGUUAAAGUAACUUGUGAUAUUAAUUUUUACUACUAUUUUUGUGCAUAAUUAUUAUUAUUGAAAUGAUUAUUAAUUUGCAAAUUAUCUAUUUUUCUUACCUACAGU